GAUCAUGGCUCAGAUUGAACGCUGGCGGAACGCUUUACACAUGCAAGUCGAACGGUAACAGCGAGGAAAGCUUGCUUUUUUCGGCUGACGAGUGGCGAACUGGUGAGUAAUACAUCGGAACGUGUCCGCUCGUGGGGGACAACCAUCCGAAAGGAUGGCUAAUACCGCAUGAGUUCUACGGAAGAAAGAGGGGGACCUGCUUGCAGGCCUCUCGCGAGCGGAGCGGCCGAUUACUGAUUAG
rnacentral:rRNA from 1 species